UACGGGGGGGGCAAGCGUUGUUCGGAAUUACUGGGCGUAAAGGGCUCGUAGGUGGCCAACUAAGUCAGACGUGAAAUCCCUCAGCUUAACUGGGGAACUGCGUCUGAUACUGGAUGGCUUGAGAUUGGGAGAGGGAUGUGGAAUUCCAGGUGUAGCGGUGAAAUGCGUAGAUAUCUGGAGGAACACCGGUGGCGAAGGCGGUUCUCUGGGCAUUACCUGACGCUGAGGAGCGAAAGUGUGGGGAGCGAACAGG
rnacentral:rRNA from 1 species